GUUUCCGUAGUGUAAUGGUUAUCACGUUCGCCUCAACACGCGAAAGGUCCCCAGUUCGAAAACUGGGCGGGAACA